rnacentral:rRNA from 1 species
GGUCAGUUACCUCGAGAGAUCGGGGAUCCUCUUCGGAGGCGUGCACACAGGUGCUGCAUGGCUGUCGUCAGCUCGUGUCGUGAGAUGUUGGGUUAAGUCCCGCAACGAGCGCAACCCACGUCCUUAGUUGCCAUCAUUCAGUUGGGCACUCUAGGGAGACUGCCGGUGAUAAGCCGCGAGGAAGGUGUGGAUGACGUCAAGUCCUCAUGGCCCUUACGGGAUGGGCUACACACGUGCUACAAUGGCGGUGACAGUGGGACGCGAAACCGCGAGGUCGAGCAAAUCCCCAAAAACCGUCUCAGUUCGGAUUGCACUCUGCAACUCGGGUGCAUGAAGGCGGAAUCGCUAGUAAUCGUGGAUCAGCACGCCACGGUGAAUACGUUCCCGGGCCUUGUACACACCGCCCGUCACACCAUGGGAGUUGGUCUUACCCGACGGCGCUGCGCCAACCGCAAGGAGGCAGGCGACCACGGUAGGGUCAGCGACUGGGGUGAAGUCGUAAAGGGGUUGGCCGUAAGGCU